rnacentral:rRNA from 1 species
UACGUAGGGGGCUAGCGUUAUCCGGAAUUACUGGGCGUAAAGGGUGCGUAGGUGGUUUCUUAAGUCAGAGGUGAAAGGCUACGGCUCAACCGUAGUAAGCCUUUGAAACUGAGAAACUUGAGUGCAGGAGAGGAGAGUAGAAUUCCUAGUGUAGCGGUGAAAUGCGUAGAUAUUAGGAGGAAUACCAGUUGCGAAGGCGGCUCUCUGGACUGUAACUGACACUGAGGCACGAAAGCGUGGGGAGCAAACAGGAUUAGAUACCCCCGUAGUCCCUGAG